rnacentral:rRNA from 11 species
AAUACUGGCCUUAAUACCUUAAAGGUCUCAGAUCCUAUCUGAUUUUGGAAACUAAACAAGGUCAGCCCAUGUUAAUAGUUGGAUGAGAAACCACUAAUGAAUACUAGGUGCUACAAACU